UGCGAAAGUGUGGAUAAUACCGGACGACAUCGUCGAGUCUCAUGGCUUGACGAUCGAAGGUGGGGAUCUUCGGACCUACCGGCCUGGGAGCGGCCCAUGUCCUAUCAGCUAGUUGGUGAGGUAAUGGCUCACCAAGGCUACGACGGGUAGCGGGACUGAGAGGUUGGCCCGCCACAUCGGGACUGAGACACUGCCCGGACACCUACGGGUGGCUGCAGUAACGAAUAUUGGGCAAUGGGCGCAAGCCUGACCCAGCAAUGCCGCGUGCAGGAGGAAAGCCCUUCGGGGUGUAAACUGCUGUCAGGGGCUAGCAAGCGAGGUGGGUGAAUAAUCCGCCGAGUUGAGCCGCCCCAGAGGAAGCCUCGACUAACUCUGUGCCAGCAGUCGCGGUAAGACAGAGGAGGCGAGCGUUGUUCGGAAUCACUGGGCUUAAAGGGGGUGUAGGCGGCUUGGUAAGUGUUGUGUGAAAUCCCAGGGCUCAACCCUGGAACUGCACGGCAAACUGCCCGGCUUGAGGUCGGUAGGGGUGCUUGGAACUCUUGGUGGAGCGGUGAAAUGCGUAGAUAUCAAGAGGAACGCCGGAGGCGAAAGCGGAGCACUGGGCCGACUCUGACGCUGAGACCCGAAAGCGUGGGAGCGAAACGGGAUUAGAUACCCUGGUAGUCCACGC
rnacentral:rRNA from 1 species